UACGGGGGGGGCAAGCGUUGUCCGGAUUCAUUGGGCGUAAAGAGCGUGUAGGCGGCCAGGUAGGUCGGUUGUGAAAACUGGAGGCUCAACCUUCAGACGUCGACCGAAACCAUCUGGCUAGAGUCCGGUAGGGGAGCGUGGAAUUCCUGGUGUAGCGGUGAAAUGCGUAGAGAUCGGCAGGAACACCCAGGGGGAAACCGUGGACUGGGCACGGUGCUGACGCUCAGGUGCGAAAGCGUGGGGAGCGAACCGGG
rnacentral:rRNA from 1 species